rnacentral:tRNA from 1 species
UGGGGCGUGGCCAAGUGGUAAGGCAACGGGUUUUGGUCCCGUCAUUCGAAGGUUCGAAUCCUUUCGUCCCAG